rnacentral:piRNA from 1 species
UACCUGUGCUAAACUGAAAAUGAACUAC